AAAUGUGGAUUAAAUACCCUAAAGGCUCCUGAUCCCAUCUGAUUUUAGAAAUGAAGCAGGUUCUGUUCUGAUAGAUACUUGGAUGGAAGACCACCAAUGAAAAUCAGAUGUUGUAGGUU
rnacentral:rRNA from 11 species